CGACUUUUAUUUUGGCGCGGAGGCGUGACGUCAUCGGCCUGCGUCUGUGGAAAGGUUUGUGUUUUCAGUGUUAAAUCGAUUUAAACCGAGUUAUCGUGUAGUACGUACAAACUCUGCACGUACAGUAAUUAUUUUAUUAUUAUGAUGCGUACGAUUUCUCUCUCUGGCGUGUAGUGACAGAAAACAGUCUGCUUUUGGAAACUUAAUUUGGAGUCAGAAGCUCGUCAGUGACUGUUUGAAUCCGCUGCUCGAGAACAACAGACACAAAGAAACAGUUCUUCAUCGAGUAUGUCGAUGAUUAAAGAGGAGAGAGAGGAGGUCAGGAUUGAUGAACAGACUCCAGCAGGCAUGAUGCUGCUGAAAGAGGAACAUGAAGUACUGAAUCAAAUAGAAGAGACAGUUCCAACUAAGAAUCAUUUCAAAACUGAAGGGAACUCUUUUAGGUGCCCACAGACUGAAAAGACUUCCUCCGAAGAAAAACAAACUAAGGGUUAUUUCACCUGCUUUGAGUGUGGGAUGAAUUUCAUUCACCCUGAAAGCCUUAGAAUCCACAUGGGAAUCCACAAUGGAGA